UACGUAGGGAGCAAGCGUUGUUCGGAUUUACUGGGCGUAAAGGGCGCGUAGGCGGCGCGGUAAGUCACUUGUGAAAUCUCUGAGCUUAACUCAGAACGGCCAAGUGAUACUGCAGUGCUAGAGUGCAGAAGGGGCAAUCGGAAUUCUUGGUGUAGCGGUGAAAUGCGUAGAUAUCAAGAGGAACACCUGAGGUGAAGACGGGUUGCUGGGCUGACACUGACGCUGAGGCGCGAAAGCCAGGGGAGCGAUCCGG
rnacentral:rRNA from 1 species